rnacentral:sRNA from 1 species
AAAACAAAUGAAAAAA